AGUGAACGCUGGCGGUAGGCCUAACACAUGCAAGUCGAACGGCAGCACAGUAAGAGCUUGCUCUUACGGGUGGCGAGUGGCGGACGGGUGAGGAAUACAUCGGAAUCUACUUUUUCGUGGGGGAUAACGUAGGGAAACUUACGCUAAUACCGCAUACGACCUACGGGUGAAAGCAGGGGAUCUUCGGACCUUGCGCGAUUGAAUGAGCCGAUGUCGGAUUAGCUAGUUGGCGGGGUAAAGGCCCACCAAGGCGACGAUCCGUAGCUGGUCUGAGAGGAUGAUCAGCCACACUGGAACUGAGACAGGGUCCAGACUCCUACGGUAGGCAGCAGUGGGGAAUAUUGGACAAUGGGCGCAAGCCUGAUCCAGCCAUACCGCGUGGGUGAAGAAGGCCUUCGGGUUGUAAAGCCCUUUUGUUGGGAAAGAAAAGCAGCAGGUUAAUACCCCGCUGUUCUGACGGUACCCAAAGAAUAAGCACCGGCUAACUUCGUG
rnacentral:rRNA from 1 species